GACGAACGCUGGCGGCGUGCUUAACACAUGCAAGUCGAACGGAAAGGCCCUGCUUUUGUGGUGUGCUCGAGUGGCGAACGGGUGAGUAACACGUGAGUAACCUGCCCUUGACUUUGGGAUAACUUCAGGAAACUGGGGCUAAUACCGGAUAGGAGCUCCUGCUGCAUGGUGGGGGUUGGAAAGUUUCGGCGGUUGGGGAUGGACUCGCGGCUUAUCAGCUUGUUGGUGGGGUAGUGGCUUACCAAGGCUUUGACGGGUAGCCGGCCUGAGAGGGUGACCGGCCACAUUGGGAAUGAGAUACGGCCCAGACUCCUACGGGAGGCAGCAGUGGGGAAUAGUGCACAAUGGGCGGAAGCCUGAUGCAGCAACGCCGCGUGCGGGAUGACGGCCUUCGGGUUGUAAACCGCUUUCGCCUGGGACGAAGCGUGAGUGACGGUAAUGGGUAAAGAAGCACCGGCUAACUACGUG
rnacentral:rRNA from 1 species